UCAGGACGAACGCUGGCGGCGUGCCUAAUACAUGCAAGUCGAGCGGAGUCGAUGAGGAGCUUGCUUCUCUGAGACUUAGCGGCGGACGGGUGAGUAACACGUAGGUAACCUGCCCAUAAGACUGGGAUAACUACCGGAAACGGUAGCUAAUACCGGAUAGGUUCUUCUCUCGCAUGGGAGAGGAAAGAAAGACGGAGCAAUCUGUCACUUAUGGAUGGACCUGCGGCGCAUUAGCUAGUUGGUGGGGUAACGGCUCACCAAGGCGACGAUGCGUAGCCGACCUGAGAGGGUGAUCGGCCACACUGGGACUGAGACACGGCCCAGACUCCUACGGGAGGCAGCAGUAGGGAAUCUUCCGCAAUGGGCGAAAGCCUGACGGAGCAACGCCGCGUGAGUGAUGAAGGUUUUCGGAUCGUAAAGCUCUGUUGCCAGGGAAGAACGUCUCUUAGAGUAACUGCUAAGAGAGUGACG
rnacentral:rRNA from 1 species